rnacentral:misc_RNA from 1 species
GUUUUUUGUCAAUUGAAUUAUUGAGGUAACAAAGUUACUGUUACUUAAUGGUAAGCAAGGGCAGUUAUCUAUAUAUAAUGGUGGUAACGGCGUCACCAAUGCAACCCAGCAUUUGCCUUUAAAUACCGGGGUAAAGGGUAAUGACUCCUUGAACAACCUGUAAAUAAUGGUCAUUGCCUAACAUAACCGCUGUUAUUUAAAACCAUGAUUAGUGCAGUAGUUUUAGCCUGAUAAGCCGUGGAAAAUCUUUUUACUUCUCAUACCAGUUAACCCACAAACCAAAUUAGCUGCACCACGGCUCUACACAAGAUUUCUAGUUUGGCACAUAUGGAAAAUCAUAGGCUGAACAUUAUUAGGUGACCAUAAGACCAUUGUAGAGUUGGCUAAUGGCGUUUUCCAAGCUCAUAAAAAUAUGGUCAAUAUUUGUUUCACAUAUCCAAGAAGUUAUUUUUGGCAGAGCUCAUGCGCAAAUGUGAACUUUAACAACACAUGGUUGGACACCAAAAACUAGAUACAAAGCAAUGCAUUAAUUAAAUGAAACGAGAAGAUUGAAAAUAAGGAGAAAAAGGGUACAGUACCUGCACCAGACAUUGCUUGACAAAUCUCUUAUGCACAUCCAAAACAUAUUUCUGCAACCCCAAGUCCUUCUCCAACAGUCUCCUGACCCCC